rnacentral:lncRNA from 1 species
GCAUGAAUAGAGGACAAAAGAGAAGCACUGGUGAAAAGUUCAUCAAAAAGCCUAAAGAGGACCUCCUUAAUAAGAGGCCAUGCCCGCUUAUAAAAGUAGAAAUUUGCACCAUCAAGGCCAGGAGCUUUAGAAGAAUCACAUUGCCAUACAGCUGAUUUUAUUUCUUCCAAAGAAAAAGGCAAUUCAAGACUCUCAGAAAUUUCUGAUGAAAGAGAUUGUAGACAUAUUAGGGAGCAUACCAGAAAAAGAACGCAAUUUACAAAAGCGAUCUUUAAAAUGGUCAACAAUGAUCCUCUUUAUUGAAGUUGCAUCAUGAAAAUGAAGGAAAUAAGCUUGUUAUGCCAGCUGUAGUGUCCACAGUUGCACGUACCCACUUUGCACGUUGUUCUGUUUCUGCCCACUUUGCACGUUGUUCUGUUUCUGCAUGUUUUGUUUAAUUGUUCAGCAUCCGUUUUUCCCUCAAUCCAUGAUUUAUGCAAUAUGGCGUGAUGCUCGGAUUGAAACUUGUUUUUCAGUUGUAAUUCUAGUAUAAAUAAGGCAAUAUCUCAAUGAAAGAAGAUGUGUUGAGUUCUCAAGAAAUUUGAGCUACAGCUUGAUUUCUCUGUCCUUAGCUACACUGCUCCUUUCUUAAAAAUUCUGCAGAAACUUCAAAUUUUGAAGUAAUAUCAACAGUUGCAGCAACCUCAUAAAGUUCAGGUCCACUGCUUUGCUUCCAUCUUUGGGUGAUCAUAUUCACAGUUUACACUUGGUAUCAAAGCCCGGGACCUAGUUUAUGCCCAAAUACAUGCCACGACACGAAGCUUCAUCGUCCAGUGUUGUCCGUAGUGGUAACAGCGGCAAUGGUGGUCAGACAAUAGAAACUAGACAGACGGCAGAAACGGUAGUGAGAGCACCCGUAAGAGAAGGGGGUGUCUCUCUGCAGUAUCCGCUCCUAACAAAGACAAAUUAUGCAGCUUGGGCAAUCAAGAUGCAAGUAUAUAUGCAAGCUCAAGGUGUUUGGGAUGUCGUUGAGUCAGAAGAUCCAGUUGAUCCUCGUUCAGACCGGAUUGCAUUGGCGGCAAUCUUUCAAGGGAUCAUCGAAGAUACCCUAUUACAGUUAGGGGUAAAGAAAUCAGCUAAAGAGGCAUGGGACGCUCUCAAGGUUAUGAACCUCGGUGUAGAGAGGGUCAAAGAAGUACAGGCACAAGCUCUCAGAUGGGAGCUCGAAAGCAUGAAGAUGGAGGUUGGUGAAUCCGUUGAUGAAUUCACUGGAAAGAUUUCGACAGUUGUCAACAAGCUCCGAGCUCUUGGUGAAAGGGUUGAUGAAAUGUAUGUAGUGAAGAAAAUGCUACGUUCAGUGUCCCCUAAAUACCUUCAGAUUGCCUCAACCAUAGAAGAAUUCGGGAACUUGUUUGUUAAGACAAUUGAAGAUAUAACUGGUUCUCUCAAAGCUCACGAGGAGAGGUUGUGGAGCUACGAUUCCAGAGGAGACGAAUAUGUGCUACUCACUAAAGGAGAGUGGAAAGCACGAGCGGAGUCCUUAAGAUCUAAUGAGAAGCACCCACAGGACGUGAGCAGAGGCCGGGGACGCGGACGCGGACGUGGUAGAGGACGCGGCAGAGGUAGAGGAGGUGGUCGCGGCAGGGGUUGUGGCCUUCCUGGAACAAGUCGAGGUCAGGAUGAUGAAGGACAACACCAUCAGAAGUUCGACAUUAAAAAGGUCAGGUGUUACAAUUGCAAUGAAUAUGGCCAUUUUCAAUCUGAUUGCAAAGCUGAAAGAAAGGAAAAAAAUGAGGCACAUUUAGUGGAGCAAUUUGAAGAGGAGUCGACGUUGUUAAUGCUAGAAACCAGUGAGCUGAUUCACAUUGGUGAAGAGAAAGAAAAAGAGCUAAUGCUGAAUGAAGAACAGAUGCAUGAUUUUGAAGGUGUAGAAAAAAAAGGAACCAUGUGGUACUAUGAUACGGGGGCAAGCAACCAUAUGACCGGCAACAAGCAGGCCUUAAUCGAUCUCGAUGAAACAAUCAAAGGGAAUGUCAAGUUUGGUGAUGGUUCCAUCAUCAAGGUAGAAGGCCGAGGCACUUUAGUGUUUCAGUGCAAGAAUGGAGAUCAUUUUAAAACUAACAAAUGUGUACUACAUUCCUCGAUUAAGAUCCAAUAUUAUAAGCCUUGGUCAACUCGACGAAUCAGGAGCAAAAGUGGUGGUGAAUGGAGGAAUUCUCAGAGUAUAUGAUGCAAAGGGUAGAUUGAUAGCCAAGGUGCAGAGAUCUAAAAAUCGUCUGUAUACGAUGAAGAUGAUACAAGCUAAAUCGGAGUGCCACUUGACAAGGUUGUCAGAAAAAUCUUGCUUAUGGCAUGCACGCUUUGGGCACUUGAACUAUCAAACUUUACGCAAGCUUGCACAAGAAAGCUUAGUGAAAGGUUUGCCGGAGAUAGAAACAGUGAAGUACAUUUGUGAACCUUGUGUGAUCAGCAAGCAGCAUCGCACAAGUUUCCCGAAAGCAGGAGAGUAUCAAGCAACUAAACCUCUAGAACUCAUGCAUGGUGAUCUGUGUGGGCCGAUAUCACCUACCACAUGCGGUGCAAAUAGGUAUUUUCUUUUGCUUGUGGAUGACUACAGUCGUUAUAUGUGGAUUGAAAUGCUUAGAAGUAAAGAUGAAGCUUUUAAUGCUUUCAAAAAAGUGAAAGCUCAGAUCGAAGUCCAGUCCGAUUGUAAGCUCAAAAUGUUUAGAACAGACAGAGGAGGUGAGUUUGCAUCGAAUGAGUUCGAAGAGUAUUGCAAGUUACAUGGCAUCAAACGCCAGCUCACUGCACCUUACUCCCCACAACAAAACGGUGUAGUAGAACGGAGAAACCAAACCGUAGUGGAGAUGAUGAGGUGUCUAUUAAACAGCUCCGGGGUGCCAGCUACAUAUUGGGGAGAAGCUGCACGUACUGCAGUAUACAUAUUGAACAGAUCACCUACAAAAAGUGUCCAAGGCAUGAUUCCGUAUCAAGCGUGGCAUGGAAGACUCCCAAGUGUUCAUCAUAUGCAUGUUUUUGGUUGCAUUGCAUAUGCCAAAAACACAGCUCCUCACUUGAGAAAAUUAGAUGACAGGAGCAUGAAGCUGGUUUUAUUGGGAUAUGAACCAGGGUCCAAAGCAUAUCGAUUAUUGAAUCCAAAUUCUAACCGAAUUGUGGUAAGUCGGGAUGUUGUGUUUCAGGAAGAAGAGAAGUGGAAAUGGCAAGGCCAGACGACAUCAAACUCCACAGCAGAAGGACCACUUGUCAUCACAUACAAGGAAGCACAAAUGCAAGAAGACAAAAACCUCCGAAGUCAGGAACUGACGCCAACUUCCUUAUCACCUAUAGCCGAGUCAAAUCCAGAACAUUUAGAGACAGGAGAAAGCAGCUCGGAGGGACCAAGGAGAUUCAGGACUCUUCAAGAAAUUUAUGACAACACAGUGGAGGUCGACCAAGACUACGGUCUUUACCUGAUGUCAAUUGAAGAACCAGCAUCUUACCAUGAAGCUGCCUGCAGUGAACAUUGGCGACAAGCAAUGAUAGAAGAAAUGGAGGCUAUCCGGAGAAACGGAACAUGGGAACUAGCAGAACUCCCAAAGGACCAGAGAGCUAUUGGUCUGAAAUGGAUCUUCAAAGUAAAGAAGAAUCCAGAAGGGGAGAUCAUUAAAUAUAAAGCAAGACUUGUUGCAAAGGGGUAUGUGCAGAAACAAGGCAUAGACUUUGAACAAGUCUUUGCUCCCGUAGCCAGGCUGGAGACUGUGAGAGUAUUACUUGCUGUAGCCGCUCAAGAAGGCUGGAUAGUGCAUCAUAUGGAUGUCAAAUCUGCAUUCUUGAAUGGUGAGAUAGAAGAAGAGGUUUAUGUGACACAACCAGACGGAUUCAUUGAACAAUGAGAGGAAGGAAAGGUUCUGAAACUACGAAAGGCCCUGUAUGGUCUUAAAAAGGCGCCUCAGGCAUGGAAUAUAAAGCUAGACAAAUGUUUCCGAGAGCUGGGGUUUCAAAGAUGUAUGAUCGAACAUGCAGUCUACAAGAAACACGAAGGAGAUGAAGUGCAUAUUGUAGGAGUGUACGUAGAUGAUCUGAUAAUCAUGGGCUCAAAGCUGAGAGGAGUGGAGAAUUUCAAAGCCAAGAUGAGAAAGAUCUUCGAGAUGAGUGAUCUUGGGAUGCUAAGCUACUACCUGGGUAUAGAAGUCAAGCAAAAGCCGUAUAGCAUCACCCUUAACCAGUCAGGGUAUGCUGAGAAGAUGCUCGAGAAGCUUGGCCUGGCUGAGUGCAAGCCAUGUCGGGUUCCAAUGGAUACACGGGUGAAGCUGAGCAAGUCAGAUGGAAGUCCUCCGGUAGAUGCAACACUAUACAGGAGUGCAAUCGGAAGUUUGAGGUAUUUGGUGAACACUCGACCCGAUCUUGCAUAUUCAGUUGGAAUUGUAAGUCGUUUCAUGGAAGCCCCAACAACGAAACAUCUAGCAGCCGUAAAACAGAUAUUGCGUUAUGUGAAAGGCACUUUACAUCAUAGGUGCAUAUACAACAAGGUGGAAGAGGAGGAGUUCAAGCUAGUAGGCUAUAGCGACAGUGACUUAGCCGGAGACGUAGAUGAUCGAAAAAGCACGACAGGAGUAAUCUACUUCCUCGGCCAAAGCCCUGUCACUUGGAUUUCUCAGAAACAGAAAGUUGUAGCCUUAUCCUCUUAUGAAGCCGAGUAUAUUGCUGCAACAGCAGGAGCUUGUCAAGGCAUAUGGAUUAGUAGGCUGUUACAUGAAUUGAUCGGUUGGAAGACAAACAAGUUUGUGUUAAGAGUUGACAACAAGUCUGCAAUAGCUCUCUCAAAGAAUCCCGUCCACCAUAACAGAAUCAAGCACAUAGAUUUUAAGUUUCAUUUCAUUCGGGAGUGUGUCCAAAGAGAAGAAGUCGAAAUCAAGUAUGUAAAAACUGAAUCACAACUCGCUGAUAUUCUGACAAAGCCACUGUCCCGAGACAAGAUCGACGAGUUGAGCAUGAUGAUUGGGAUCAAAGAUGUGAAGAACAAGCUUACGGGGGAGAAAUGAAGGAAAUAAGCUUGUUAUGCCAACUGUAGUGCCCACAGUUGCACGUACCCACUUUGCACGUUGUUCUGUUUCUGCCCACUUUGCACGUUGUUCUGUUUCUGCAUGUUUUGUUUAAUUGUUCAGCAUCCGUUUUUCCCUCAAUCCAUGAUUCAUGCAAUAUGGCGUGAUGCUUGGAUUGAAACUUGUUUUUCAGUUGUAAUUCUAGUAUAAAUAAGGCAAUAUCUCAAUGAAAGAAGAUGUGUUGAGUUCUCAAGAAAUUUGAGCUACAGCUUGAUUUCUCUGUCCUUAGCUACACUGCUCCUUUCUUAAAAAUUCUGCAGAAACUUCAAAUUUUGAAGUAAUAUCAACAGUUGCAGCAACCUCAUAAAGUUCAGGUCCACUGCUUCGCUUCCAUCUUUAGGUGAUCAUAUUCACAGUUUACAGAAAUGACACAUCUCUAUCUGAGUUUUUGAGGAUGGUAUUCGAACACUAUAAAUGAAAAAAAUCUUGUAUUUUUAUCCCCUAAUUUACACUAAGCCAUACGAUCUUUUUGUCUUUAAAUACUUUCACAACGAGGAGUAUAAGAAGCUUUAUCAGCC